GAUGAAGAACGCAGCGAAAUGCGAUAAGUAAUGUGAAUUGCAGAAUUCAGUGAAUCAUCGAAUCUUUGAACGCACAUUGCGCCCGUCAGUAUUCUGGCGGGCAUGCCUGUUCGAGCGUCAUUACGCCCCUCAAGUCCCCUGUGGACUUGGUGUUGGGGAUCGGCGAGGCUGGUUUUCCAGCACAGCCGUCCCUUAAAUUAAUUGGCGGUCUCGCCGUGUCCCUCCUCUGCGCAGUAGUAAAACACUCGCAACAGGAGCCCGGCGCGGUCCACUGCCGUAAAACCCCCCAACUUUUUAUAGUUGACCUCGAAUCAGGUAGGACUACCCGCUGAACUUAAGCAUAUCAAUAAGCGGAGGA
rnacentral:misc_RNA from 1 species